rnacentral:tRNA from 4 species
GCGGAUGUGAUCUAGUGGUUAUGAUUGAGGCCCUCCAAGCCUCUUGCCCGGGUUCGAAUCCCGGCGUCCGCA